GUACUUGCUUCAGCAGUACAUAUACUAAAAUUGGAACGAUGCAGAGAAGAUUAGCUUGGCGCUGCACAAAGAUGGUACAGAUCACUCUUAAUUUAGUUACAUAAUC
rnacentral:snRNA from 1 species